rnacentral:lncRNA from 1 species
CUAAAUCAGGAUACAAGCCUAGCAGGCUAAGUGCCGGUGAACUAAAUCAGGCUAUAGGCCUAGUAGGCUAAGUGCCGGUGAACGGAAUUAAACUAUAAGCCUAUCAGGUGAAGUGCCAGUGAAUCUGUUUAAAUUAAGUGAUUCUAUGCAUUCGGUAUAAAUAUAUAUGAUUUUGUUUAUAUGAAAUGGAUAAAUUUAUGAACAUUAUUUCAAGGUGGUUGAUGAGUAUAUAAUCAUUCGAAUUCUUGUGAAUAGUGAGUAUGUAUAUAUAUAUAUAUAUCGGUUAUCAUGAAAUUGUUGGAUAUAAAUAUAUGUGUGUAUAUAUGUAUGCAUUCGGCAUAUGUGGGUAUAAGUGUAUAUGUGCAUUCGGCACUUAUAGUUGAUAAGUAUAAAAAUUUUGCUCUUGAUAUAUGUAAUUGAACAAUUAUAUAUAAAUGGAUCCGAUGAAGUGCGAACAAUAAGUACUCUAGUAAUCAGUAUAUGCAGUUAAUGAUUAUGUUAGUAACUUGAUUAUAUGCAUAUAAUGUAUAUACCCUUGUCCAUUUAUGUAUAUUAGUUAAAUAUACAUUCUUUUAGAUUUAAACAAAAUGACUUAAUAUAGCAAUGAUUGGUUAGUAAAUAUAUUUGAUAUUUGUGAUUUCAAUAAAUUUACUUAAAGAAUUAUGUGAUUCUUUUAUAUGUAUUUUUAGAUAUGCUAUAGACUUACUAAGCUAUAAAAGCUUACUUUGAUUGUUUUUGUCCAUUUGUUUUUAUAGAUUUUGGAGACGUGUUACGAGCUCGGGGAUCAUCAGCAUAGUCUAUCACACUAUCGACUUCUUUUGGUAUUUUGUUAAAUAUUUAAACUUGAUCUUAUGGCAUGUAUAGGUUUGAGUACGAUGUUGGUUAAAUUUUGAUUGUAAAUUAUAAAUAGCUAUGAGAAAAUAAUUUAAUUUUCAUGUUUGUGAUCAGUUUGGUUUUAAAAAUGGUUGUGUUUGUUCGGUAAUGCCUCGUAAUCCUAAUUCAGCGACGGAUACAGGUUAGGGGUGUUACACCCUAUAUGUGUGAUCUGUCUGUCUGAUUUCCAUACCGAGCAUGACUUAUGAUAUCUGAAUGUAUGUACUAUUAAUUGCAUAAUGGCAUGACAUAUUUUGUAUGUUGUAUUGCAUCGGGGUGAGUUGAUAUUUGGAGGAAGUGUCUGAAAGGCUAUUAAGCCUGUUAUCUGGCAGCUCAACUGCAACCUUCUGAUUAUGUGCCACAUUUCGGUAUAGCAUGGUGUGUAGGGAUGGGUGGGUUGAUUUAAUCCCCACAUGGUCUGUAGGGUUGGACGGAGAUGAUGUGUAGAGACUGGUGGGUAGGAUUCUGAUUUACUGUAUCUGCAUUCUGUAUCUGAUAUGGGCCAAGGCCCUAAUGUAUUUCUAAGACUAUAUCUGAAUGGGUUAAGGCCCAAACUGAUUCUGUGAUGGGCAGAGUCCCCAUUCUGUAUCUAACUGAAUUCUGUUGAUUUUCUGUAUGCAUGUUUUCUGUGGGGAUUACACACUGAUUUUGCGAAACUCACCAUUUCUCUGUUUAAAUCUGUACAGGUAAUUCCCAAAUUUGACAGGUCGGUGCAACAAAGAACUCGACGGUGGCCACACGUAAAUUUUAGAUUGUUUUCCGUUAAUGCCUAGAAUUUAUUACUUAUUUAGAGUUUUUGAUGUAUCUUCUACUAGAAUAUAGACUGGUUGGCUUUAAAUUUGGGACAUUAUACUUUUUUUUAUGGAUUUUUUUUAAAACUGCAACUCCACAAAACACGAUUUUUUUCUAAAAACUAAGGUUUUUCGUAAAUAGAAACGAUUUUCUCUAAAUUAAUUAGUUACAAAAGCUUCCGCUAAG